GCUCCAUCAAGUACUGUUCCUAUGGGCAUUAACAUCGUGUUGCUUUUCGGAGCAGCAGUGGCUCGCCGUAAUAUAACCGGCUUAGCCAAGCGGAUCCUAUGGACAUUGGCAGGCUGUGAUGGCACUGACUAUUAAUAGCUUUGUCACACAACGGGAUCGGCACCCUCAGUUGCUGUUUCAAGUCGCUGGCUCCGGCAAACAAAUGUUUCCGUAAUUUUUUGUUCAAGAAGAGAUGACAAAGAAUGGCAUGGGCGCAUCAUCGACGCGCAGUCACUUGGAAAUUCGAGACGAGCGAGGGAGCACAAUCCGCCUGUCCUUCUACAACGCGGUUGUCACAUUCGUCAUUCUGCUCGGAAUCCUUAUGAUCCUGUCCGGUAUCACCAUGGCCAUCAUCACCAGCCUCCUCGUCGGAUCUAUCCUCAUUUGUCCCGGGGUCAUCCUUGUGUGCCUCACGGCCAUGCUCAUGAUGAGAAUUGAGAGGGCCUGGCAGGAGCAUCGGUACGCCUCACUGGCGGAGGAGGAAGCCUUUUACGACGACAGACCCCGACAAGAUGUUCGCGUUCAUAAGCAGGGUCACAGUACGAGGGGCAAGACGCUUAAUAAAUGACGACGCGAUAACCUGGGAUUCAAAUAUAAUAUCAUUUCAAAUAAAUUACGAGCGUU